rnacentral:rRNA from 1 species
GCCGUGGGUGUAGGAUACUUGAGAGGAGUUGCCCCUAGUACGAGAGGACCGGGGUGAACGAUCCACUGGUGGACCUGUUGUUGCGCCAGCAGCAGUGCAGGGUAGCUAUGAUCGGACAGGAUAACCGCUGAAGGCAUCUAAGCGGGAAGCCCCCCUCAAAACAAGGUAUCCCUGAGGACCGUGGUAGACCACCACGUCGAUAGGCCGGAGAUGUAAGCGCGGCAACGCGUUCAGUUGACCGGUACUAAUUGUCCGAUAGGCUUGAUUUGAUCCAG